rnacentral:rRNA from 2 species
AGAGUUUGAUCAUGGCUCAGAUUGAACGCUGGCGGCAGGCCUAACACAUGCAAGUCGGGCGGUAACAUUUCUAAGCUUGCUUGGAAGAUGACGAGCGGCGGACGGGUGAGUAAUGCUUGGGGAUCUGCCUUCGGGUGGGGGACAACAGUUGGAAACGACUGCUAAUACCGCAUAAUGUCUUUUCCGUAACAGGAAGGGACCAAAGCGGGGGCUCUUCGGACCUCGCGCCUGCAGAUGAACCCAAGUGAGAUUAGCUGGUUGGUGAGGUAACGGCUCACCAAGGCGACGAUCUCUAGCUGGUCUGAGAGGAUGAUCAGCCACACUGGAACUGAGACACGGUCCAGACUCCUACGGGAGGCAGCAGUGGGGAAUAUUGCACAAUGGGGGAAACCCUGAUGCAGCCAUGCCGCGUGUGUGAAGAAGGCCUUCGGGUUGUAAAGCACUUUCAGCGAGGAGGAAAGGGUGAUGCUUAAUAAGUGUCAUCUGUGACGUUACUCGCAGAAGAAGCACCGGCUAACUCCGUGCCAGCAGCCGCGGUAAUACGGAGGGUGCGAGCGUUAAUCGGAAUUACUGGGCGUAAAGCGCGCGUAGGCGGUUAGUUAAGCCAGAUGUGAAAGCCCCGGGCUCAACCUGGGAACUGCAUUUGGAACUGGCUGACUGGAGUUUUGUAGAGGGUGGUAGAAUUUCAGGUGUAGCGGUGAAAUGCGUAGAGAUCUGAAGGAAUACCAGUGGCGAAGGCGGCCACCUGGACAAAAACUGACGCUGAGGUGCGAAAGCGUGGGGAGCGAACAGGAUUAGAUACCCUGGUAGUCCACGCCGUAAACGAUGUCAACUAGCUGUCUGUGUCCUCGCGACGUGGGUAGCGCAGCUAACGCACUAAGUUGACCGCCUGGGGAGUACGGCCGCAAGGUUAAAACUCAAAUGAAUUGACGGGGGCCCGCACAAGCGGUGGAGCAUGUGGUUUAAUUCGAUGCAGCGCGAAGAACCUUACCAUCCCUUGACAUCCAGUGAACUUUCCAGAGAUGGAUUGGUGCCUUCGGGAACACUGAGACAGGUGCUGCAUGGCUGUCGUCAGCUCGUGUUGUGAAAUGUUGGGUUAAGUCCCGCAACGAGCGCAACCCUUGUCCCUAGUUGCCAGCGCGUAGAGGCGGGAACUCUAAGGAGACUGCCGGUGAUAAACCGGAGGAAGGUGGGGACGACGUCAAGUCAUCAUGGCCCUUACGGGAUGGGCUACACACGUGCUACAAUGGCAGGUACAAAGAGAAGCGAACUCGCGAGAGUAAGCGGAUCUCAUAAAGCCUGUCGUAGUCCGGAUCGGAGUCUGCAACUCGACUCCGUGAAGUCGGAAUCGCUAGUAAUCGUAGAUCAGAAUGCUACGGUGAAUACGUUCCCGGGCCUUGUACACACCGCCCGUCACACCAUGGGAGUGGGUUGCUCCAGAAGUGGUUAGCCUAACCUUCGGGAGGGCGAUCACCACGGAGUUAUUCAUGACUGGGGUGAAGUCGUAACAAGGUA